CUUCACCGAACCCAGCCACAACGGCCGGCCCUCAUCCCGGCCCUGGCCAUACGUCGCAAGCAGCGCCUGCGCCUC
rnacentral:antisense_RNA from 3 species